UACGUAGGGUGCAAGCGUUAAUCGGAAUUACUGGGCGUAAAGCGUGCGCAGGCGGUUCGGAAAGAAAGAUGUGAAAUCCCAGGGCUUAACCUUGGAACUGCAUUUUUAACUGCCGGGCUAGAGUAUGUCAGAGGGGGGUAGAAUUCCACGUGUAGCAGUGAAAUGCGUAGAGAUGUGGAGGAAUACCGAUGGCGAAGGCAGCCCCCUGGGACAACACUGACGCUCAGGCACGAAAGCGUGGGGAGCAAACAGG
rnacentral:rRNA from 1 species